rnacentral:rRNA from 1 species
UUCGGAUUGCAGCCUGCAACUCGGCUGCAUGAAGUUGGAAUCGCUAGUAAUCGCGGAUCAGAAUGCCGCGGUGAAUACGUUCCCGGGUCUUGUACACACCGCCCGUCACACCAUGGGAGUCGGGAAUGCCCGAAGUCGGUGACCUAAACCGAAAAGGGAGGAGCCGCCGAAGGCAGGCCUGGUAACUGGGGUGAAGUCGUAACAAGGUACC